rnacentral:lncRNA from 1 species
GCCCUAAAUAGUAUUUGAAUCUAAACAUGGUUAAUAACUUUGGGAAAUUUUUUGCUUUUCCAACAUUUAUAUGAAAGAUUCAUUUUUCUAAUUAAAAUAGGGCUUACAUAGCUCAAAAAAGUAAAUGUAGCCUUUGCACAGAAAUGAAGGAUUUGCAUAGAAAUGAAGGCAUAAAAAUAAUAUAAUUUUACUAUAAUAUAUACUCUAAAAUAUUAAAUGUAGAGAAACGAAGGCUUUAAUAAACAAAAGAACAAGUGAUAUACCUUGUUAGUUAAACAGUGGCAUGCAUUGGGUAGACUAAAUUAUUUCAUCAUAGAAAAGCAAAAGACAUCCAUUGGUGCAACCGUAGUACCAUAGAAACAUCCAUGGAUCUCAAAGGAACAAUACAAUCCCCAAAAUGCCAAACUACCACACAUCAGAAACAAGUGAACAAUGAUGCAACAUUGACGACAAAUUAGUGAUGUGGUUAACCAUGCUUGUUGUGAUAUUAGUUUUUUUUUGGGAUAGGUCUAAGACUGCCCCUCAUCAGAGACGAGUCCCUUAUGACACGGCAUAAAUAUCAAAGACGCGUGCAAACAAGACACAUUUGUAAUGUGGGAACCAUUAGAGACAUUCCAAACAAGAUGUGUCUCGGAUGUGAGAUGCAUACGGGAUGUGUAUGAAUUUCACCCGCAUAUCCAAUAAGAGGGGUUCACAUCAAAGGGGAGUCUCAAAUACCCACGCCUGUAACACCCAAAAAUUUAAUAUUCAAUUAAUAGGAUUUAAUUUGAAUUAUUUAAGAAUUUUAGUGAGCAUUUAAUGUAGCAAAUAAACAAUUUUUGUGGAAAUUAAAAUUUAUCAUAAGCUUAGUAACAUGAUUUUGUGCAUUCAUGCUGAGACAUAUUUUAUUUUGUGUUGAUUGUAUUUGGUUUGUAUUUAAUUGACCUCAAAAUCAUUUUUGUAAAAGGCUUUGAAAAAAAAAGAAUAAAACAAAACAGAAAAGAAAUUAGAAAUAAAAAAAGAAAGCCCCUGGGAUCCAGGCCGAGGCCCAGCUCCCCUCACCCCCCCGGCCUGCUCCUUCUUCUCCCCUCCCCCGCGCCCCGGCCCGCUAACGCGGCCUAGUUUUCCCCCCAGCCCAGCAACCCGGCCGGCCCACGCGCGCGCCUUCCCUCCCUCCCUCCUUCUCUCACCGCCAGCCGGGCCCCGCACGUCAGCCUCACCCUCUCACCUUUCCUUCUUCUUCCUCGCCGUGACGCGCGCAGGGGGAGUUUCCUCUCCGAUGUCGAACCCGAACCCUGCGAUUUCCUUGCCGUUUUCGUGGAAUUAAACCCCUAUAUAUGCCUCAAGCCUCGCCCGCACCCGUUUUUCCCAUCGCGCCGCAAAAACGAGCCCUAGUUUCGUUCAUCCGCGACACAGUGGAUCUCUCCGAGCCGAGCGUGUUCCUCCGUCGCAAACCAAGUGUCUCGCCCUCUCUCGGCCCGAGCCAAGCCCCUAGGUACGUUCGCGGUGAGCUCCUCGUCCCUCCGGUGUUUUUCUUUCGG